UCCGUAGACAGUACUGUAAGUUAUUUGUUAAAUCCUAAAGCUCAACUUUAGAAAAGCAUUUAAUACUACUUUACCUGAGUUUUGUUCAGAAGAGUAGAAUUUCAUGUUUAGGGAUAACCCCCGUAGAUAUAUGGAGGAACACCAGUAGCGAAGGCGACUCUUUGGUAAAAACUGACGUUGAGGGACGAAAGUGUAGGGAGCAAACA
rnacentral:rRNA from 1 species